UGGUAGAUUACUGCGGUAUAGAGAACAAGUGUCAAACCAUGAUGAAACAGCAUUUUUAGAACAGAUCUGCCCAAAGCCUAACAGCAGAGAUCGAAAAUACGCGCGAAUCAAGAUCUUCAAUAACAUGUACGUGUAGGCGCACCCCACUCACAAAAGUGAUACCUCAUAACUCCGCACGCGCUGUUGUGGUGGAAAGGAUGCCGUUGGACGAAAAUACAUAGCCAUACCUGAAACACACACAACAUUCAUUAUUCAUGGCCUUAAAGAAAACAAUGAAAAUAUCUUCAUAUUUGAGAUCCUAACAAGCUCUAAAAAUCCAUCUGGCUACUAUUUCUACGUACAUCCAUCAUAAUGUCGGUGUGGUGUGUAUGCAUACCGGCUCGCGAAAGUCGGAGCCGCUGACCGCUACAGAUUCAAUUUUAGUGUACCUCGCAAGAGACCAGGGGCUCUGUGAUUGGCAUUCGAACCCAAGGAAAACCAGGUGAAACGUAUGAAAGUAUGAGAAGUAAUUGGUUGAAAUUUCAAGAUGGCCACCAUGGAUAUGUUUCGGGUUCUAAGAACCCUUACACUGGAAACUUCCCAAGCAUGGAGGACACAUUUACUCUAGAAGCAGCUUCAGGCAGUCUGCUGGUUUAACUUUAGGUUCCCCUUGGCUAUUUUUGAUGCUUCCUUGCUUAUGAUUAAAGGUUGCGACUAAACUAGUUUUUGGUUUUCUGACGACACUCAAUAUUGAAAAGCGCUUUUGUGUUCUGAGUUUGCACAAACAUGGGAAACGGAUGGUAACUGUACUUUGUACUUUGAAAAUCUUUACCUAAUUCGGAAGUGCACGGUAUGGAUUAAAAAUUUACCUUUUCAGUACCCAGCGAAUGCGUGACCCCUGGUCAGUACGUAUUACAGAUGUCAACUAUGGCCGCACGGUGGUAUACCAGUCAAGAGGAUUGUGAGAGCAAACCAGAUAGAUGCUUUUGGUCACAUGGGUGGGAUACACAAACGCGCAAUAUGAUGACAGCCAUCAUGCUACUACAGCAAAGACUCGGUGUGCCAUCAGUACAGGGGAGCCAAGAUAAAGUACCUGUGCAUGUCAGCGAAACAGUGUCAAGCUGAAAGCCACUGCUACAAUUACAAGAAAAAAAAGUUAUGAUGUUCUUUGAUGAUUAUAUCAGCACAGCACUGUGCAAAUAUAUAUACUGAAUUUCCCCAAAGAGAUUAAUUCUUUCCUUUUUUAACAUCUCACAAUGUAAACAGCUAUCUUUUGAGAUAGCAAGGACAGCAUUGUAUCCCAUUUCAGCGCUGUUGCACUGCACACCCAUUCCUCGCAGGAUUAAUCAGUGUAAUUUUUGUAACAUUUUUUACAUUAAAUCAGUCAGUCCGGACAUUGAAUUUGACGAUAGUUGUAACCUAGUGCCUUGAAUUAACGUUUUCUUCACAAUUAUCAGAAAUUUAUAGAGUGUGAUUGGCGAUAAGCAGUACAAAUGAGCACAAAUGGGAAAGUGUACCUGUCAUAUUUGUGGCUGGAAAGUGUGAUAGGACAGUUUUAAGGUGGUGCCUGCGCCACUAGACAAUACGCGUGACCCGCACGCUCUGUUAUACAGACUACUAGAUUCAGUUUCUUGACAGGAAAUGUGAACUGUUAUGUUUUCAUCCAUGAAAAUGUUUAACCGAUUAGUGUUUUGCUUCUCAAACUU